AUACGUAGGGUGCAAGCGUUAAUCGGAAUUACUGGGCGUAAAGCGUGCGCAGGCGGUUUGUUAAGUUAGUGGUGAAAUCCCCGGGCUCAACCUGGGAACUGCAUUUAUAACUGGCAAGCUAGAGUGCGGCAGAGGGGGGUGGAAUUCCCCGUGUAGCAGUGAAAUGCGUAGAUAUGGGGAGGAACACCGAUGGCGAAGGCAACCCCGUGGACCUGCACUGACGCUCAUGCGCGAAAGCGGGGGAAGCAAACAGGAUUAGAUACCUGGUUAGUCCAGGCCCUAAACGAGGUAAACUGGUUGUUGGGGAUUUGUUAUCUCAGUGGCGAAGCUAACGCGUGAAGUUGACCGCCUGGGGAGUACGGCCGCAAGGUUAAAACUCAAAGGAAUUGACGGGG
rnacentral:rRNA from 1 species